CAGAGUUCGUGCCCUCACGGGUAGAUCUCCCACCCUGUGUUAUUAUACCUUUGUUGCUUUGGCGGGCCGCCCUCGGCUACCGGCCCCGGCUGGUACGCGCCCGCCGAAGACACCCUCGAACUCUGUCUGAAGAUUGUAGUCUGAGUGAAAAUAUAAAUUAUUUA
rnacentral:misc_RNA from 1 species